UACGGGGGGUGCGAGCGUUGUCCGGAAUCACUGGGCGUAAAGGGCGCGUAGGUGGCCUGAUAAGGGUGUGGUGAAAGUCCGGGGCUCAACCCCGGAUCUGCCGUGCCGACUGUUGGGCUGGAGUACUGUAGGGGCAGGCGGAAUUCCGGGUGUAGCGGUGGAAUGCGUAGAGAUCCGGAGGAACACCAGUGGCGAAGGCGACUUUCUGGUCUGUAACUGGCACUGAGGCGCGAAAGCGUGGGGAGCAAACAGG
rnacentral:rRNA from 1 species